UACGAAGGGGGCUAGCGUUGCUCGGAAUUACUGGGCGUAAAGCGCACGUAGGCGGCUCUUUAAGUCGGAGGUGAAAUCCUGGAGCUCAACUCCAGAACUGCCUUCGAUACUGUAGAGCUUGAGUUCGGGAGAGGUGAGUGGAACUGCGAGUGUAGAGGUGAAAUUCGUAGAUAUUCGCAAGAACACCAGUGGCGAAGGCGGCUCACUGGCCCGAUACUGACGCUGAGGUGCGAAAGCGUGGGGAGUAAACAGG
rnacentral:rRNA from 1 species